rnacentral:sRNA from 1 species
UGUAUCUAUUAUUAUUUCAUGCAACGAAU